rnacentral:rRNA from 11 species
UACAAGCCGUCAGAGCCUUUUGGGUGAUGGCGUGCCUUUUGAAGAAUGAGCCUGCGAGUCAGCGGCAUGUCGCGAGGUUAACCCGUGUGGGGAAGCCGUAGGGAAACCGAAUCCUCAUGGGGUGUUUAGUGGCAUGUCCUGGACCCGAAGCGGGGUGAUCUACCCAUGGCCAGUGUGAAGCAGUAGUAAGAUGCUGUGGAGGCGCGAACCCACGUAGGUUAAAAACUGCGGGGAUGAGUUGUGGGUAGGGGUGAAAGGCCAAUCAAACUCCGUGAUAGCUGGUUCUCUCCGAAAUGCAUUUAGGUGCAGCGUUGCGUGU